UCUCCCCCAACCCCUCGUCUCUCUCUGUCUCUCUCUCUGACAGCGUCCAGCUUUGGCGCUCUGCUCAGUUAGUUAGAGAUACACGCUGAGCCACUGGAGCGCAAGGAAAGAUAUGUUGGCUACAGCAGGCAGGGGCUUCCACCACUUCAGCAACGGUGCUUUUUUCAAUUUUUUGUUUCAGCAUGAAACAUUUAAAAGCCAGGACAUCAGAUAAAUAUGUUUUACAUUGCUGAGCAGUAUAAAAGUUUCAUAGAGAUGAGCCUUUAUCAAGGCUUGACAAGGGGUUAUUGGCACAAGAGGCUAGACUGAAAUCGCUUUUUUUUUUUUAAGCUUUGCGGAAUACAUUUUUAAAAAAAAGGUUGAAAUGGCCACAUAAAACCUGCCCAUCAACUGACUUCAUUCUUCAACCGGACAGCGUCCUUCCUCACAGACGAGAAGAAGAAGAAGACAAGGGGAAGCAGAGGUGAGACGUCAACAAAGCAGAGAAAGAAGACGAGCCGAGAGGAGGUGGGCAGCACAGUUUUCAGCUCUUACGAGACUGAGGAGGAGAAAGUGACGGCAGCUAGAACUUGGCCACUAGUGAGAUGAAAUUUGGGGAGGAGACGCUGGAGCGCUGCAGGGUACGACAUCCACACAGAGCCCUAAAAGUGGACCGCCUGGAAGACGAGCCCUCCCUCUCUGGAUCCUGUGCCCCUCCACAGCCGAAGGAUGAGAGGGGUCGACUUUCACCUUAGUUGCCGGGGAUGUCUGUGCACCACAGGAAGACGCCAGCCUCCAGCAUGUUAAAUGUUAUGCUACUCCUGAUGCUUUGCAAGAUUAGUCUGAGACGAAAACUGCAGUCUUUUCCCGGGGAAAAUGGUAAACACUCUCCACACUGAUGAGGAAAAGGGAAUCCAAGACAAGGAAAGUAAGGAGGAGAGCAUCUUGGCCAUGCUGGGGAUCAUUGGAACCAUUCUCAACUUGGUUGUCAUCAUCUUUGUCUACAUCUACACCACCCUGUAGGUCUCUAUCUCCUGCUGUACUUCAUCAGCGGGCAGAUGAGAGAUCAUCUGUGUCAAUGCGAUGGCCAUAUUGCAUCCAUCCUGCAUCCCUUUAAACAACUUAGUCGAUGGGAAACGGACUCGUUCCUUUUGCCUUUACUGGUGAAAUAGUCCAACAUGCCGUGAGACAUUUAACUUGUACAUAAAUGCCCGACGAUACCGCUUUUCUCAACCACAUGGACAUCAAGGAUUGCAGAGGGUGGACGUGAAAAUAUGUAUCAGAUGUUUUAUUGACUGAAGUGUUGAAAGUACCUAAUAUGCUUCCAUGUGAUGGAAUAUAAGGAUGUAUAGAGAAGGUAGGUUUUUGCAAUGAUAUAUAUUCAUUUUCCUCAAAGAUUUUCACAGUAUAUGACAACAUACAUCGGUUUCUAUGAGGAUUAAGUAAAUUAAAGAAAAUAGAUAUUCAAAUUGUUAUUGAGGUUGAAUUUUGUUUUUGUACUGUAUUCCUCACUGUUUGGAGUAAAAAAAUGAUUUUGGAUGGUGUUUUAUUUCCUACAAUUGUCCUACAAAAGUUGUAUAUUGUGCAUUUACUAAAACAAACUUUGUCAAUGGCAUGAAGUCAGUUUUCAAAUGUUAGGAAUUCAGACAGAUCAGUACAAACUGUCUCAAUAAUUUAUAAUACUUAAGUUUAUGACGCAUCACUUGAGGGUCACCGACACUUUCUCACCGAGAGAAGAUUAAUUAAUUUGUGGGAAAAUAAUGUUAUUAUUUGUCGAAGUCGAGGCUGAAGAUCACCAUCGUUGUUCUUGGGGGUAAACAUCUUCAGACGUUUUCACAAAGAUCAUUUCCUCACGUAUGGGUCUAUCAGACGCUGGCAUGUUUCAGCUCGUACCAACUGAAUCAGGUUGGGUCAUGGGAGCGUCUCAAAUUAUAUUCACUUGCUGUUUUUCCUUCAUUCUUGAACAAGAAGCCUGCAAAAUGAUCUGCAUGUAAGUCUUUUUCUGUUUGCUCUCAUUUAUAGAUUAAUUUGACAAUAAUGCAUCAAAGGAAUCGUUCCACAUUUUGGGCAAUAAUCUGGUCUCCUGCCAACCUCUCAGUGAAGAGAAGACUCUUGGAAGUCUUUGUGGUCAGCCGAGAAGUAGUCUGGCGCAGAACUUUGUAAAACCAAAACCUGUUUUUAUUGUGUAAAAAAUAUACUCCCGUUUAUUCCUCAAUAAUUGACUACUGUUUGAGAUGUGACAACGUGAUUUCAUUUUCCCCAUUUCCAGUCAUUAUGCUAAGAUGCUCUUCUCCUAGCUGCGAAUUCGAAUUUAACGGACAAGUGUGAGAGCGAUAUCAAUCUUUUAUGUAACUCUCAUUGAGGAAGCGAAUAAGAGUAUUUCCCAAAAUGAAAAACUUUUACUGAAAAAAUGUAUCUAUAAGAGAAGAGAAAACGCCUUUAAAUAAUGAUGUACAGUAUUUAGCGGAUGUCAUGCUUUAGAAAAGAACAGUUACAUGUGUUUGCAAGACGACCACCUCAUGAUUUCAGAAAGUGCCUGAGAUCAAAGUGUCUCAACCUCAUCAGUUAAAAGGUCAAGAAAAUAAAAAUAGAAAAAACAGUGAGAGUAUCUUUAUAAAGCCACGAGUCCCACAGGAUAGUGGAAGAAGAAUGAUGGGACUGGAUUUCUGUUUCAUGGCUUAAUAAAGUCAAUUAGCUUGGGUGAACAAACUUAAGCACAUGGACAAGUCGUAUGAAUGUAUUAUCCCUUAUUCUUUACUCAUCUUUCUUAAAGCUAUGUACCUCUAUUUGUUAUGUUUUGUUCAUGUGUAUGCUAAAUCUAUUUAAACCUAUUGAUUUGUCACUUGUGGGUGACAAAUUGGGUAAACGUUUGUCAGGCUGCGGUUCGGUUAAAAAACAUUAAAUGAAUACAAGAUGAAACGGAUAUAUUUGGAUGUUCUGUCUUGGUUUGUAUCAUACCAUAUUAAUGGUAAUAUAUUGAAUUACGCCUUUGGUGCACAUAAGCUACAUUCAUUAAUGCUACGCAUAUACACAUUUUGAAAAAACUUUCAGCUUCAUGACUUCUGGAACAAAAUACUUUUACAGAAGUGAAACGCUUCUAGCACGAAUAAAAUAAUCUUUGAAAAUCUA